UACGGAGGGUGCGAGCGUUAAUCGGAAUUACUGGGCGUAAAGCGCACGUAGGCGGUCAGGCAAGUCGGGUGUGAAAGCCCUGGGCUCAACCUGGGAAUUGCAUUCGAAACUAUCUGACUCGAGUAUGGGAGAGGGAAGCGGAAUUUCCGGUGUAGCGGUGAAAUGCGUAGAUAUCUGGAGGAACACCGGUGGCGAAGGCGGCAUUCUGGACCGACAUUGACGCUGAGGAGCGAAAGCCAGGGGAGCAAACGGG
rnacentral:rRNA from 1 species